rnacentral:lncRNA from 1 species
CCCACUAGAAGCUUCUUACUAAGAUUCCUUCAACCAAAUGCCUGAUCUACCCCCCAACUCCUAUUUUUACUUUAGCCUACCAAAUAGGUCAAAUUGACCCAUGAUAUUUAGUCUAUUGCAUCAGCAGGUUCCAAUAGCCUUUGGGCUGCCAGGAUAUUCAAUGCCCAAAGUGUGAUAAGAAAAAUCACAGGCCAGAAAAUAGGACAACCCAAACCAAUUCAGCCAUUUUAGCAUCAAAAGAAAAUUAAUGGAACAAAGCACAUAGAAACGGGGCAAAAUGAAAUCAAAAUGCUGAAGAAGUAAGGAGUAAAACACAUUAAAGUACUGAUAAUUAUUAAUAUGUCUCAAAUUCUAAAAAUGCAGAAUACGUCAACCAGUACUUAACAAAAGAAAAGAAAAUGAGAAAAUAAUAGACUUAAUGCAAUCGACAUGCAUUCAGAGACAGAAAGAACAGAUGUGACCUAACAAGGGAGGAAGACAGAAGGAGAUAAAUAUGGAAAAGCGAGGAAAACAAAUGACAAGAAACAGAGAAAAUACCAAGCAUAAUCAACAUGGGAUGAGGACUUGAAUGGACUUCCCUUGUCCUCCGAUUUGAGGCGAAAUCUAGUGUUAGUCGAUUUGUUCUUGCGAGAACAAAUGUCCAGCACUAAUUUUAGCCUAAAAUCAACUUUGAAGCUCAGAGAUUAACUGAAUCGGAACUUUAAAUGACGGGUCGAAGGAGGGUACAAAUCCAUGGUUCCUGUUUCAAGAUCUGAAAUUAAAGAGAAGUGAAGAAUAUUAGGGAAAAAUUGGUUAUGGUUUAGUGCUUAAGGGACUAUUGGGGUUGGGUGGUCGAGAUUUGGUGGCGAUUUGGAGUUGUCUCGCUGUUAACAAUGGCAAACUAGGGUUUCAUAUGGAGGAGACGAAGUGAGGGGUGUUUGGAUGAACUGAAUGGUUCUGAGGUUUCUCAGACACUCUUAUGUUACAAAGAGACGUGUUCUGGACCGUUUGACUAAACAAAAUGGAGGGCCCAUAUUUGUCUUAACCCUAACACUCUAAAUGACGUA